UACGUAGGGUGCAAGCGUGUCCGGAAUUAUUGGGCGUAAAGAGCUCGUAGGCGGUUUGUCGCGUCUGCUGUGAAAACGCGAGGCUCAACCUCGCGCCUGCAGUGGGUACGGGCAGACUAGAGUGCGGUAGGGGGAGAUUGGAAUUCCUGGUGUAGCGGUGGAAUGCGCAGAUAUCAGGAGGAACACCGGUGGCGAAGGCGGGUCUCUGGGCCGUAACUGACGCUGAGGAGCGAAAGCGUGGGGGAGCGAACAGG
rnacentral:rRNA from 1 species